UACGUAGGGUCCGAGCGUUGUCCGGAGUUACUGGGCGUAAAGGGCGCGCAGGCGGCGGUGCUGGCCCGGCGUGAAAGCCCCCGGCUCAACUGGGGAGGGUCACGCGAUACUGAUCGACUCGAAGGCAGGAGAGGGUAGUGGAAUUCCCGGUGUAGUGGUGAAAUGCGUAGAUAUCGGGAGGAACACCAGUGGCGAAGGCGACUACCUGGCCUGUUCUUGACGCUGAGGCGCGAAAGCUAGGGGAGCAAACGGG
rnacentral:rRNA from 1 species